ACCAGAAUGGCUGAGUGGUUAAAGUGUUGGACUUAAGUUCUCAUAGACAUAUGUCUGCGUGGGUUCAAUCCCCACUUCUGGUA